GACGAACGCUGGCGGCGUGCUUAACACAUGCAAGUCGAGCGGUAAGGCCCUUUCGGGGGUACACGAGCGGCGAACGGGUGAGUAACACGUGGGUGACCUGCCCUUAGCUCUGGGAUAAGCCUGGGAAACUGGGUCUAAUACCGGAUAUGACUCCAUGACGCAUGUUGUGGGGUGGAAAGCCUUGUGCGGCUAGGGAUGGGCCCGCGGCCUAUCAGCUUGUUGGUGGGGUGAUGGCCUACCAAGGCGACGACGGGUAGCCGGCCUGAGAGGGCGACCGGCCACACUGGGACUGAGACACGGCCCAGACUCCUACGGGAGGCAGCAGUGGGGAAUCUUGCGCAAUGGGCGAAAGCCUGACGCAGCGACGCCGCGUGAGGGAUGACGG
rnacentral:rRNA from 1 species